UAGGGGACUUGAGCCUUUUCUUUCUUUCUUCCUCACACUUGCAACCAAAGAGAAAUAUCUCUCUCUCUCCAACAAUUUCUCCACCAAAGAGAGGAAUUGGAGGUGCAUUUGGAGAAGAAAAAGGUUGCUUGGAGGUGAAGUCUUCAUCCUCUUCAUUACUUGGUUUGAGGAAAAGCUUGUGUUUGACGUGCUUAAAUGCGUGUGAAGCGUCGGUUCGUCGAUUCGUCGAGCAGGUGCGACGUUCUGGCAAAAACAAGCGCAGGCGGCCUUGUGUAGACCGAUGAGUAAAGCGGCGACUAGGGAACGUGCAAUUGAGAACCUAGCCUCGUGAUAGCGGUAAAAGGUGGGGGGUGUCAUCCCGAAGUAUCCGGGUUUCCUUUUAUGUCUAAGUUUUAUUUUGAUCAUAUUCAUAUAUUGAUAUUGUGCACUAUAGGAUUAGUAGAUGAUUACAUUCCAUUUCCUUGCAUGUUUCCUAUGGUAGUGUAGCAUUGUGGGCUUGACACUAGAACUUAGGUUGCAUGAGGAUUGGGGCAUGCGACAAGAAUCCUAUGAGUUGCGGUGAUUUCAUGCUUAGUAUGAGGGAUGAUGAUCCAUGAUUGCAUGAUACUGGUAGGAAUAUCUAUUUGCAUGAUGUUGAGGUAGAUGUGGACAUGUAUAUUGCAUGAGAACUUUUAUAUGAUGCCAAUAUAGAUGUACUUAUGCAUGUUGCAUUGAGUUGCUAGCGGACAUAUGCAUGAGGAUAUGAUGUGAGAAUAGACUAGAUCAUGAAGAGCUAGUAUGUGAACCAAUGACAUUGUAAAAUUAGAAACCAUUGCAUAUGUGGCCGACUUGAACAUAGCAUGCCUUGUGAUUGUUUGGGGUGUGCGAUCCCCGAUGUCCUCGGGCGGGAGGACUAGAUCAUACUCGUUUCGUCUGUUGUAUUUGAGGAGGUCGCGCCUCCCAUUUCUGUGAGCUCCGGAGUUGUAUCACAGUGAGAUUGAGACGGGGGAGGUGGUCACCACGGUGUGCCCCCGGCAGACGGUCACGGUGGCGUGACGGUGUGGACCGAGUCGUGGUUCGACCUUUGGGCGAACCGAUUGGAUUGAAUCCAGGCAUGUUCAUGGCAUUACACAGAGUGCAUACAUGGUAGAACUUAUACUUGUUGUCAUGAUUAGUAAAGGCAUAGCUACACAUUUGAGCAUGAUAUAGAUGUAGAUGAGCAGAGUAGGCUUGUUGUUAUAUCUAUUAUUCCUUUGACAUGUUGACCUCUGUAUUAUUUCUAUGCCUUUCUUAGACCUAGUGGGAAAACCGGCGGCGUCGGCGGCCGAACCCACUGGGAACUAUAUUUAUAUAGUUCUCACCCCGUGUGGUUUUGGGGUACAGGUACACAUAGAGGCGAGCCGAGCGAGGACCGCGGCAAGGGCAUAGCGCCCUAAGUGAGCCUAGUUAGUAGCUUUUCCUUAUGCAUUAGAAUAACCUCGUGUACUAGUUGAUAUUUUGGAUAGAUAUCAGAGAGCUACUUGUAUUUUGAAGAAAACAUGUACUUACAUUUUGGAAGAUGAAAA
rnacentral:lncRNA from 1 species